rnacentral:rRNA from 1 species
UACGGGGGGUGCAAGCGUUAAUCGGAAUUACUGGGCGUAAAGCGUGUGCAGGCGGCCUCACAAGUGGUGUAUGAAAUAUCCAGGCUCAACCUGGAGGGGUUAUGCCAGACUGUGAGGCUAGAGUGCGAGAGAGGGGCGUGGAAUUCCGGGUGUAGUGGUGAAAUGCGUAGAGAUCCGGAGGAACCCCAGAGGCGAAGGCGGCGCCCUGGCUCGCAACUGACGCUCAGACACGACAGCAUGGGGAGCGAACGGG